UCUUCGGAGAGUUUGAUCCUGGCUCAGGAUGAACGCUGGCGGCGUGCCUAAUACAUGCAAGUCGAGCGAACUGAUUAGAAGCUUGCUUCUAUGACGUUAGCGGCGGACGGGUGAGUAACACGUGGGCAACCUGCCUGUAAGACUGGGAUAACUUCGGGAAACCGAAGCUAAUACCGGAUAGGAUCUUA
rnacentral:rRNA from 1 species